GUGCGCGCGCGCGCUUCUGGGCGGAAGUGAGCACGUAACACUAGCACUGGUGUGGAUUUUGAGUCCAAAGCAGAUGAGCAUCGGCUUAGCGCGGCUGAGAGGAGGAGAAAAAGACGCAUCGGCAGCAACAGCGUGCCUGUUUCCCUAUCUUAACUAAAAAAAUAAAAAAAAAAAGGCAGGCGCGAUGCAGCUUGGCUUCUGCAGCUCGCCUUAUGGUGGAGCAAACACUCUCUUAUAAACGGAGUUGGAACUGAAGUCGAUGGCGCCCAUAGAAAAAUGAGUUGAAAGGGCGGCGCUCAAUGCUCACCCCCGCUUCAGGUUUAGGCAAAUGCGUCACUCUGGUUUGUUUGUAUCUCUAUGUGCUCUCGCGCGAAGGAGGAAUUGCGGAGCACGGGCUCUUGACAACGAGGAGAGCCUGCUAAAGAGAGGUGCUGCGGUCGACGCCUUCCCUCUAGCGGCUCCAGGGUGCCAUUGCAGCAGGACUCUUCGGUGUUUUCUCCUCUGUCUACUUUGGUUCCCCUUUCAAAGGUGGUGUUUUAAUAUAGCUUUGUAAAUAUUAUGUGUGUCUGAAAGGAGGCUUAGUUUGGGAAGGGCGGGGUUUGGAGGCUCCUGAUUAAUACUAUAUUGUGUUACAGUUUAAAAUGCAUAAUAUUUUGUUAAGUGCUUUAAAAUAAUUUUAGCAUAUUUGCAUAGUUUUUGAAUGUUGCCUAUAGUUAUUUGCAUACUGUAUAUAAUGUUAAAAUGUUGGUGUGUUUUUUUGGCAUGUUUUAAAUAUAUAUUUUUUUGCUUGUUCGGACAAGAUUGGCUGCUAAAGUUAUUCACAACUAAAGUCCACAAUGAGAAAUGUUUGACAUCACCCAGGGAAAAUAACAGACGCCGUUAAUGUAGCUGCAGAUCAGAGCAUUCUCCUUUAUUCCCCCUUUUCUUCUUCUUAAGCUCAUGAAUCAUUACGUCCUGACACUGCGCAGAAAUGUUUCCGGCUGGAGCUAUUUCGUGUUGCAGGACUGAUGCCGGGAGAGAUGCUGAGGCAGAAUAUUUUGACCCGAAGAACCCUUAACCUUGUAUGAAGAAAGCCAAGCUAAAAACAAUAAACCG